GGAAAUUCUUGAUUCUAUUUAUUUCCACUUCUUUGAUUCCUUAUUACAUAUUCGCUAAAGAUCAGAUCUAUUUCAAAGAAAAGAUGCAAUUUUGAUUAGCAAGCUCUUAGCUUUCAUCGUAGUGAGAGAGGAAUUGAGGCUGAUCCAGCUAAGGUGAAAGCCAUUGACAAUCUAUGCCGAACUAAGGGCACCUAAGGAUGAAAAGAGCUAGUACCCUUUCCUGUUUGGUUAGCCAGUAGCUAGGGCACCACAGAGAUCCGAGGGAAAGACUAUCCCUCCAGGUUAACUGCCGACGACGACAUCUCGAAAAAAAUCUCUACCUUGUCUUAAGGUUCUUUGGUGCACUAACUUAUCAUAAGCUCGAGUCAUAUUAUGCCGAUACAACUCAAGAUUCUGCUAAAGGCAGCCAGCAGUCCAUGGCAGGCAUUUCGCGGUUUCACUAUCUGAGGGAGGGGACGGAAAGAAAGGAGUCGAUCACCUAGCCGAUCCCGUACGAUCGUUGUUUCAUUUCAACCGAUCAGCCGAGGAGGAAGAUUGGGUCGUGUCCUCGAUAGAUAAGUAAUUUGCACCAAUUAAUUAAACGAGUCAAGUUAAAACAAAACAAUAAGCUAAAAUCCACAUCAAUUCUCCUCUUCUCCUCACCUACCAUCCUCUACCCUCACUCUGCCUGGAAUCUGGAUGGAGAGAAAGCGAAGGGAAGAGAGAAACAAAAAGAAAAUUAUCUUUCCCACCAGGCAAACAUAGGAAAACCUCCAAACUCGCAGUCGAUCUCUCCACACAUGCUUAUAAGACGACGAAAGCCCCAACUAAGUUCAGCAUCUGGAUUCAAUAAUUGAGCAAAAGUAUACAGAACUUACCUGAAAUUCGAUCCACAUGCUUGCUUCAAUGAAACUGUGCUCGCGUAAAGUAAUCGAAAUAUGCUAAACAAACUCAUAAGCGAAGAUUAGGGAUUGGUUCGAUGCGUUUUGACCUAGCAGUUGUCACAAGCAACGAUCACAAAGACUGUGUGGCAGCAAGAUCUGAUCUAGAUCUAUCGUUAAAUUUGGCCCUUUAUUAGUCGGGGAGAAGAGCAGUAGUAACCUGGAGCAGCGGUCUGGUAGGCGCGGGCGUAGUAGGUGGGGGCAGAAUGGGGCGGCAGGUGGCCGGUGAUGCCGGGCGGCGGAGUCGGCUGGGGGAAGCCCAUCGCCGGCGGCUGCGGAGGGUAGGUGGGCACGCCUUGGAAGGUGCCGUACUGCUGCUGCUGUUGCGGGGUCUGGGGCUCGCCCGUGCUCUUCCCCUCCUCCUUGCUCGUCAUCUCCUUCUUUCUUGUUUCUCUCCUGUUUCUUUUUCCUUUUUUCUCUGCUAUUAUGAGCUUACGACGACCCUCUCUCACUCUCUAUUAUUAUAUCUCUUACUAUUAUGCGCGUUUGUUUACAUGUGCAUUAGGUUGUGAUGGUUCCGGUAGC
rnacentral:lncRNA from 1 species